rnacentral:rRNA from 1 species
AGUCACUGACAUUAGAUACCCGGGUAGUCCAGGGUGUAAACGCUGCAGACUUGGUGUUGGAAGCCCGUUUGGGGGCAUUCAGUGCCGGAGAGAAGUUGUUAAGUCUGCUACGUUGGGAGUACGUCCGCAAGGAUGAAACUUAAAGGAAUUGGCGGGGGAGCACCGCAACGGGAGGAGCGUGCGGUUUAAUUGGAUUCAACACCGUAAACUCACCAGGGAAGACUGUUACAUGAAGGCCGAGAUGAAGACUCUGCUAGAUUUUCAG